rnacentral:rRNA from 1 species
UACGUAGGGAGCAAGCGUUGUCCGGAAUCAUUGGACGUAAAGCGCGCGUAGGCGGCCCUGUAAGUCCGCUGUGAAAGUCAAAGGCUCAACCUUUGAAAGCCGGUGGAUACUGCAGGGCUAGAGUCCGGAAGAGGCGAGUGGAAUUCCUGGUGUAGCGGUGGAAUGCGCAGAUAUCAGGAGGAACACCAAUAGCGAAGGCAGCUCGCUGGGACGGUACUGACGCUAAGGCGCGAAAGCGUGGGGAGCGAACAGG